AAUUUAAUAGUUUAAUAAAAACAUUGAUCUUGUAAAUCAAAAAUAGAGUAUAUCUUUAAAUUA
rnacentral:tRNA from 1 species